rnacentral:RNase_P_RNA from 1 species
CGAGCAGGUCACCUUAUCGAUCUGAUGGUAACCGUCAGGUAGGAAAGUCCGGACACCAUAGUGCAGUAUAGCGGGUAACACCCGUCACCCCGUCAUUGGCGGGGGCGGACAAGUGCAACAGAAAGAAUGUACAGGUAAUGCUGUAGUGAAACCAGGUAAACUCUAUACGGUGAAACGUCAUGUAAAUCAGUGUUUGAGGGCUGCACGCUCGAGCUGAAGGGUAGGCGGUUAGAGCCUUUGGGCAACCAAAGGUCUAGAUAAAUGAUAGGGAAACCUUGAAUUCAGGGGAUACAGAAUCCGGCUUAUGGCCUGCUUUUUUU